rnacentral:sRNA from 1 species
GCGGAGGAAAAGAAACCAACAGGGAUUGCCCCAGUAACGGCGAGUGAAGCGGCAACAGCUCAAAUUUGAAAUCUGGUCCCCCUUGGGGGCCCGAGUUGUAAUUUGAAGAGGAUGCUUCUGGCGAGGCGCCGUCCGAGUUCCCUGGAACGGGACGCCAAAGAGGGUGAGAGCCCCGUACGGUCGGACGCCGAGCCUCUGUGAAGCUCCUUCGACGAGUCGAGUAGUUUGGGAAUGCUGCUCAAAAUGGGAGGUAAACCCCUUCUAAAGCUAAAUACCGGCCAGAGACCGAUAGCGCACAAGUAGAGUGAUCGAAAGAUGAAAAGCACUUUGAAAAGAGAGUUAAAAAGCACGUGAAAUUGUUGAAAGGGAAGCGCUUGCGACCAGACUCGCGCCCGUCGGAUCAGCCGUCGCUUGUCGGCGGCGCACUCCGGCGGGCUCGGGCCAGCAUCGGUUCGCCUCGGGGGGAGAAAGGCGGCGGGAACGUGGCUCUACGGAGUGUUAUAGCCCGCCGCGCAAUACCCCCGGGUGGACCGAGGACCGCGCGAAAGCAAGGAUGCUGGCGUAAUGGUCGUCAGCGACCCGUC